rnacentral:tRNA from 1 species
GCGCGUAUAGCUCAGUGGUAGAGCGCUUCGUUGACAUCGAAGAGGUUCCAAGUUCGAUCCUUGGUACGCGCA